CGGGAAGAGCUCAAAUUUAAAAUCUGGCAAUCGUUGGUUGUCCGAAUUGUAGUCUAGAGAAGCGUUUUCCGUGCUGGACUGUGUACAAGUUUCCUGGAUACGGAACAUCAUAGAGGGUGAGAAUCCCGU
rnacentral:rRNA from 1 species